GAUGAACGCUGGCGGCGUGCCUAAUACAUGCAAGUCGAGCGAACGGACGAGAAGCUUGCUUCUCUGAUGUUAGCGGCGGACGGGUGAGUAACACGUGGAUAACCUACCUAUAAGACUGGGAUAACUUCGGGAAACCGGAGCUAAUACCGGAUAAUAUUUUGAACCGCAUGGUUCAAAAGUAAAAGACGGUCUUGCUGUCACUUAUAGAUGGAUCCGCGCUGCAUUAGCUAGUUGGUAAGGUAACGGCUUACCAAGGCAACGAUGCAUAGCCGACCUGAGAGGGUGAUCGGCCACACUGGAACUGAGACACGGUCCAGACUCCUACGGGAGGCAGCAGUAGGGAAUCUUCCGCAAUGGGCGAAAGCCUGACGGAGCAACGCCGCGUAAGUGAUGAAGGUCUUCGGAUCGUAAAACUCUGUUAUUAGGGAAGAACAUAUGUGUAAGUAACUGUGCACAUCUUGACGGUACCUAAUCAGAAAGCCACGGCUAACUACGUG
rnacentral:rRNA from 1 species